rnacentral:rRNA from 1 species
UACAGAGGGGGCAAGCGUUGUUCGGAAUUACUGGGCGUAAAGGGCGCGUAGGCGGCCUGCUAAGUCGAACGUGAAAUCCCUGGGCUCAACCCAGGAACUGCGUCCGAUACUGGUUGGCUUGAAUCCGGGAGAGGGAUGUGGAAUUCCUGGUGUAGCGGUGAAAUGCGCAGAUAUCAGGAGGAACACCGGUGGCGAAGGCGGCGAUCUGGGAAGAUACUGACGCUGAGGUGCGAAAGCGUGGGGAGCAAACAGG